UACGUAGGGUGCAAGCGUUGUCCGGAAUUAUUGGGCGUAAAGAGCUCGUAGGCGGUCUGUCGCGUCGGCUGUGAAAUCCCGAGGCUCAACCUCGGGUCUGCAGUCGAUACGGGCAAACUAGAGUAUUGCAGGGGAGACUGGAAUUCCUGGUGUAGCGGUGAAAUGCGCAGAUAUCAGGAGGAACACCGGUGGCGAAGGCGGGUCUCUGGGCAAUAACUGACGCUGAGGCGCGAAAGCGUGGGGAGCGAACAGG
rnacentral:rRNA from 1 species